GCUGCCCCGCGGACGGCUCAGUAACACCUAGUCAACCUACCCUUGGGUCGGGUAUAACCCCGGGAAACUGGGGAUAAUCCCCGAUAGGUGGGGGUACUGGAAAAGUCCCUCUCCCAAAGCUCCGGCGCCCAAGGACGGGACUGCGGCCCAUCAGGUAGUUGGCGGGGUAACGGCCCACCAAGCCGACAACGGGUACGGGCUGUGAGAGCAGGAGCCCGGAGAUGGAGACUGAGACAAGGCUCCAGGCCCUACGGGGCGCAGCAGGUGCGAAAACUUCGCAAUGCGCGAAAGCGUGACGAGGGAACCCCAAGUGCCGAUGGUCUUUUUGAUCGUCGGCUUUUCAAGAGUUCAAAAUGCUCUUGGAAUAAGAGCUGGGUAAGACUGGUGCCAGCCGCCGCGGUAACACCAGCAGCUCAAGUGGUGGUCGCGAUUAUUGGGCCUAAAGCGUCCGUAGCCGGGCCAGUAAGUCCUCUGUGAAAUCGGACGGCUCAACCGUUCGGCUUGCAGGGGAAACUACAGGCCUUGGGGCCGGUAGACGUUGAGGGUACUCCGGGGGUAGCGGUGAAAUGCUCUAAUCCCUGGGGGACCACCAGUGGCGAAGGCGCUCAACGAGAACGGACCUGACGGUGAGGGACGAAGGCUAGGGGAGCGAACCGGAUUAGAUACCCGGGUAGUCCUAGCUGUAAAGUAUG
rnacentral:rRNA from 1 species